UUUUAAAUCAUAUAUAUCAAGUCAAACACCAUCAUAUAUAAUAAAACAAAGAACGUCCUAUUUUUGUUACAGCGGAACUCCAAAUUACAAUAGCAAGAGUAACUCGUGAAAUAUUUCACUGGAUGAAAAUAAGAUAAUAAUCAUCAUAAUAUAGUAGAACAUAGAACAGUACCCUAUUUUUCUUCUUUAUUACAGUCAUCAAAUAUUGGAACUUGAAAUUACAAUAGCAAGAGUAACUUAUACAAAAUUUAAUUUCACGGGAUAUAAAUCAUGUAAUACCCAAGUAGAGUAUCAAAUGCUACCUAGGAUUCGUCA